UAUGAGUGGCCAGUGGCUGGCACAUGGAGCAUAUAUUGAUUAGUUCUUAUUGCAUAACAAAUUGCCCAGAAAUUCCAGGGCUUAAAACAAUAAUCAUUUGUAACUGUUCAUGCCUCUCUAAAGGUUGGUGGAAGUUCACUGAUGUAGAUGGAGUUCAGCUUUGUGGCUUUGCUUUUCACUCUGUGCAGGUCAAUGGGAUGCCUGGGGCAGCUCUGCUUCAGGCUGUGGGGACCAGGAUGGUUUUUCUUAUAUCUGUUAUCCUUUUCUUGAGACUCGAUCACCAGCUGGGGUAUGUUCUCAUGAGAAAGGCAGAAAUUUUAGAGAGCAAGUGGAAACACAGGAGGAUAUUGAGGUCUUGGCUCAGAAACUGCAUACUUCUAACCUACAUGCCAAUGGCCCAAAUGGAUUACAAGCCAACUCCAAGUCAAGCGAUGGAGAAGUCCACUCUCUCUUCCUUCAGGCCACACAAAGCACACGAUACAUAAUCAGGAAGAGAGACCUCACCAGAAAUAGAAUCAGCCAGCAUCCUGAUCUUGGAUUACCAGUCUCCAGAGCUGAGAAAUAAAUGUCUGUUGUUUAA